GGAUCCGGGCGAGUCAACAGAGUCGAAAAAUCGGAAACGAAUGUGCCCAGCAACCGAUUACUGGAACUUGAAGAAUCAAAAAAUUCUUUUUGUCCCACGAACGGUAUCGAGAGCGAUUGAGAAUCGAGGAAGUGGAAAGAGCUCGGUAGAACAAAAUUAAAAAAGAGAGAGAGAAAAAAGUUUUGCUGCUUCACACGAGAUCCCAGAUCCAGAUUGUUCGUUGGAAAUCAACUUCGAUGGGGAAUCAUCAAUCGCGGUGUUCCGAGCUCCAGGGAUUUCGUAACACGCUCGCAUUUCAAGUGCAUACGUUACUGAGCCCUUUUCCUACAUACCCAGUGUCCAUUUUCAUCCGAGAAUACUCGAAGGUCCGCGAGCGGUGAACGAACCAAGUCAUCGGAACGUGUCGUCAUAGUUGACGAUCAGAAGACGAGCACGAGUGACGAAUGGCACGGGGGUUUUAACGUCGAAUCGACCUGUCAUAGGGGAGCAUCGUUUUUUUCCAUUACUCCGAAAGGAUUUGGGGAAAAAAUAUGAAAAUUCGAGCUCGAGUUCCCUUCGUUCUUGAGCUGCCAAGAUGUUUCCAUCGAUUCAAAAAUUUCAGCAACCUCCCACCAGUUUUUUCAAUUUCACCAUUGUUUUUCUUUCUCAAAUCAUUAAUUAGUGAACAGAGACAAAAAAUCUGUUGAAAUUCGAGUCAGAAAGGUGAAAAUUCUUGAGCAAGGGCCAGCAAUCAAAUUUUUUGAAUUUCGAGUCCGUUCGAGCCCUGAAUUCGAAUCCAGAAGUAAUUUAAAUAAAAAAUUCAUGGAUAAAAAUUGUUCCUUCAUCCUCUUUAAAUAUUUUUUUUAUUCACAUAAAUUUAUCCCCAGUUUUACCCCUCAAUAAUUUGGUCGAACCGAAAAAUGAUUUUGUCCACGUGAACGAGUUCGAUUUUUCAUUUUUUUCAUGCUCCGUUGCCCCAAUUAAUUGGUUUAUCAGCCCGAAUAUAAUGCGAAUGGAUUUUACAUCGAAAAUCUAGAAGACUCCGCUGAGACGAGAAGAAACGUGCGUCAGUGUGCUCGGCAAAGCGACUGCGGUGUGUUGGUGCAAGUGUCAAAAGGCACUUCCUCGUGGCGCAAUGGUCCGCUUCCUCUCCUGUGGUGCGAGUGAGCGCAGUGUCAGCGAGGCGCUUUAUGGGCGAGCACAGAGCCCGAAGAUGAAUGAGAUCGAUGAUGGAAUAAAAAAAUAAAAAUAAGACAAAGCCAACUCCCAAAACAGUAAUUAAAAAAGAAAUUUGUGAAUUCCUGCUCGUUACGUCCGUGGGUCAACGACUGAUUCCACCUUUUCCCGAGUUUAUUCAUUUUACGACACGACGAUCAACGAGCGUCAUCGUGCUCCAUCAGCUCCCGCAUCCCCUCCCCAUUUUCUUCCUCCGCCAGUUUUUCCUCUAACGUGACUAAUCUGUCAAUCUGUCGUCAUGAAUCUUUAUGAUUUGGACACGCAUUCGCGCGCCAAGUCAUUCACAAAUUGGAGAAAUAAUAAAAGGAAAACUACGAGGGAGGAUGCCCAUCCGCUCGAGUGUGGGGCUUUCACUAAAGGCCAUUCUGCUCCUCCUCGGCGAGUAUUCGAUUUAUGCAUGUGUAUAUAUGCAGACAAAUAUUUCCGGAUGUGAAAAAAAAUGGUAGAGAAGGAAACGAAAAGAGAACGCUGCGAACUCAAUUCAAUUGUGAUCAACCUCCAUCGAUGUUGACAUUUUGUAAUUUGGGGGUUAUGCACAUGUAUGCUCAGGCGCAUUCAUAUUUGUAAAUAAAGGUACGAAUUUAUUUUUCGA
rnacentral:lncRNA from 1 species